GCGGGCGUUGUAUAGCAGUUGGUAUGCCAGCCUUCCAAGAUGGGGAUGGCGGUUCCAUUCUGCUCGCACGCUCCA
rnacentral:tRNA from 7 species